rnacentral:rRNA from 1 species
CCCUAGUAUUAUUUAAUGUAUAAGAAGAAUUAUAUAUUGAAAAUGAAAGUUUCUGGCGGUUAAUUAUUAUUUAGAGGAGCUUGUUGUUUUUAUAAGAAUUUACUCUUUAUAUUUUAUAGAUAAAAAGUUUAUUCAUCUCCGUUAUUAGGUAUUAAUCAUUAAAAUUUAUUUUAUAAUUUCAGGUCUAGAUGUAGCAUUUAUUGGAGAUGAUUAGCUACAGUUGUAAAAUAAUGGAUUUUUGUUUAAAAUCAAAAGGAAAAUGAAUUUGAUUGUAAUUUUAGCCAAGAGGCUAAAAUGAAUCAUUAUAAUUAAUGUA